ACAGAAUCUGCCCAAGAUCAAAAUGAACCAGAAGAGAAACAUCAGGAACAGCCAUGUGAGAAAACAUUGGAGUUUCCCCUGAUUUUGUCUGUUACAUCCAUCCUGAUGAAUUUUGUGCUGAUUAUUGCAACAAUAGGUCUGUUAAUGGUCAAACUUAAGAAGCCUAGAAAAAGACGACAACAAACCCAGAAUGUGCAUCCAGAACAGAUCGAGGACUUAAACAAUGCACAGUAUUCUGAAAUCGAGUUACCCACAUGUUCCAGAAGAGAAAAUCCCAUUCAGAUAAACGGCACUUACGCACUUCUUCAGAAUCCAAAGCCACGUUUUGGAUCAUCACAUGCUGAAAUCAUCACUUCGUGAAACAUGCAAAGUUGAUAAUGAGGUAGUCUGAAACUUUCUGUGGGUGUAUCAUUUUCGGUAUGAUUGAGUUUUAUAAAGGUCAAUGUACUUCUGUCACUGUUUGAAUGAAACCCUGUUAAUUGCUUAUUUAUAAAGUGCAUCAUUUGAAUGUGUUUUGCUACCAAGUACCUUAGACAUGUUAACAGAUCACUCUUGAUCAAUGUGGUUACAGUUUACAUAAAGGUCCAAUUAUGCAUUAAAAUAAAAUUACAAUGUAAAAACGUAUUAAUCCUGAU